rnacentral:rRNA from 1 species
AUUGAACGCUGGCGGCAUGCUUUACACAUGCAAGUCGAACGGUAACAGGCCGCAAGGUGCUGACGAGUGGCGAACGGGUGAGUAAUGCAUCGGAACGUGCCCAGUCGUGGGGGAUAACUACUCGAAAGAGUAGCUAAUACCGCAUACGAUCUAUGGAUGAAAGCGGGGGACCGUAAGGCCUCGCGCGAUUGGAGCGGCCGAUGUCAGAUUAGGUAGUUGGUGGGGUAAAGGCUCACCAAGCCAACGAUCUGUAGCUGGUCUGAGAGGACGACCAGCCACACUGGGACUUAGACACGGCCCAGACUCCUACGGGAGGCAGCAGUGGGGAAUUUUGGACAAUGGGCGCAAGCCUGAUCCAGCAAUGCCGCGUGCAGGAAGAAGGCCUUCGGGUUGUAAACUGCUUUUGUACGGAACGAAACGGCUCUGGUUAAUACCCGGGGCUAAUGACGGUACCGUAAGAAUAAGCACCGGCUAACUACGUG